GGUGACCCGGAGCUUUUCUGGGCAUCACCAGUGCCUGUGGAAGGUGCCCUUGAGGCCAGCCCACGGGACUUGGUCACCUGCAGUCCCUGUGGAAGGUGCCCUUGAGGCCGUUUGGUGAGAUUUGUCUUCCAGGGUCUUUUCCAAGGCGUCUCUCGUGCGAGUUCCCUUGAGGCCAGAGUGUGGGAUGGCAGGGAGACGCUUCAGCCUCUUCAGGCUGCUGAGGAGGAAGAAGACCAGGAGAGGCCCUGGGGUUGCCCCAGCACAGCAACCUGAGGAGCCCCUGCAGCAGGAGCCAGGCCCGGAGCGGACAGAGCAGCAGGACCGUCCCCGUGGCCGCUUCCGCAGAGCAGUUCAGAGGCUGCUGAAAAUCAUGGGCAUUCGGUGC